UACGGAAGGCAGCAGGGAGGAAUAUUGCACAAUGGGCGCAAGCCUGAUGCAGCCAUGCCGCGUGUAUGAAGAAGGCCUUCGGGUUGUAAAGUACUUUCAGUCGUGAGGAAGGUGUUAAGGUUAAUAACCUUAGCAAUUGACGUUAGCGACAGAAGAAGCACCGGCUAACUCCGUGCCAGCAGCCGCGGUAAUACGGAGGGUGCGAGCGUUAAUCGGAAUUACUGGGCGUAAAGGGCACGCAGGCGGUUAAUUAAGUUGGAUGUGAAAUCCCCGGGCUUAACCUGGGAAUGGCAUUCAAGACUGGUUAGCUAGAGUCUUGUAGAGGGGGUAGAAUUCCAUGUGUAGCGGUGAAAUGCGUAGAGAUGUGGAGGAAUACCGGUGGCGAAGGCGGCCCCUGGACAAAGACUGACGCUCAUGUGCGAAAGCGUGGGGAGCAAACAGGGAUUAGAUACC
rnacentral:rRNA from 1 species